UGGCUCAGUUGGUAGAGCAUGGCGCUUGCAACGCCAGUGUUGUGGAUUCAAUUCCCAC
rfam:Salmo salar isolate Sally breed double haploid chromosome ssa04, whole genome shotgun sequence.